CACCUCUCAGGGUCGCUACUGGAGAGUUUCCAGUACUCUACCAGUAUCAAUUAUGGGAAGGAGAGUCAGGCAGAGGCCUACCCAUUCCAUUCUUAGCUUGGGCAGUGGCUAGCAAGUGUAAGGCAAUCUGCUAUAAGU